UACGGAGGGUGCGAGCGUUGUCCGGAAUCACUGGGCGUAAAGGCGCGUAGGCGGCCUGAUAAGUAGGGGGUGAAAUCCUGCGGCUUAACCGCAGGGCUGCCUUCUAAACUGUCAGGCUGGAGCACAGUAGAGGCAGGUGGAAUUCCCGGUGUAGCGGUGGAAUGCGUAGAGAUCGGGAAGAACAUCAGUGGCGAAGGCGGCCUGCUGGGCUGUUGCUGACGCUGAGGCGCGACAGCGUGGGGAGCAAACAGGAUAGAAAU
rnacentral:rRNA from 1 species